AUUGAACGCUGGCGGCAGGCCUAACACAUGCAAGUCGAGCGGAGCGGCGGACGGGGGAGUAAUGCCUAGGAAUCUGCCUGGUAGUGGGGGAUAAAGUCCGGAAAAGGGCGCUAAUAACGCAUAAUAUAAGAUGAGCCUAGGUCGGAUUAGCUAGUGGGUGGGGUAAAGGCCUACCAGGGCGACGAUCCGUAACUGGUCUGAGAGGAGGAUCAGUCACACUGGAACGGAGACACGGUCCAGACUCCUCCGGGAGGCAGCAGUGGGGAAUAUUGGACAAUGGGCGAAAGCCUGAUCCAGCCAGGCCGCGUGUGUGAAGAAGGUCUUCGGAUUGUAAAGCACUUUAAGUUGGGAGGCGUUACUCGCAGAAGAAGCACCGGCUAACUCCGUGCCAGCCGCCGCGGUAAUAC
rnacentral:rRNA from 1 species